rnacentral:misc_RNA from 1 species
AAGUCGUAACAAGGUUUCCGUAGGUGAACCUGCGGAAGGAUCAUUACUGAGUAUCAAGGGUGUUUGUUUGUCUCUUCUUCCACAAGAAAAAGAGCCAGCAACAUCUCUUUUUUUCUCUCUACCCUUUUGUUAUUAUUUAUUAGUUGCUUUGGUAACCGAUUAGUUAUUGGUUGCCAAGGGAGUUAUUAAACCUUCUUAAUUAUCUAAUAGUUGAUACCCUUCUGUCGUAGUUUAUUACUUUAAUAGUACAUAAAA